rfam:HIV-1 isolate 1182.48-1433-20030220 pol protein (pol) gene, partial cds.
AUAGGUUCAGUAUURGUAGGACCCACACCUGUCGAUGUAAUUGGAAGAAAUCUAAUGACUAAGCUUGGUUUCACUUUAAAUUUUCCCAUUAGUCCUAUUAAUACUGUACCAGU